rnacentral:rRNA from 1 species
GACAGAGGGUGCAAACGUUGUUCGGAAUUACUGGGCGUAAAGCGCGUGUAGGCGGCUAAGUAAGUCGGGCGUGAAAUCCCACGGCUCAACCGUGGAAGUGCACUCGAAACUGCAUAGCUAGAGUCCUGGAGAGGAAGGUGGAAUGCUUGGUGUAGAGGUGAAAUUCGUAGAUAUCAAGCGGAACACCGGUGGCGAAGGCGGCCUCUGGACAGUGACUGACGCUGAGA